UCACAACUGGGCGUUGUGGCGUGCGCCUGUACUGUAAUCCAAGCUGCAUUUCAAAGUUUCAAAUUGAUGCAGCAGCGCAGGGGUUCGAAGUUCGGCACACGUAUAUGGUUGACGCUCCCACAUCGCUGCGAAGCACAUCGAUGAGAAGUACAUUGGCUAUAGGCCGAUAUUUCAUUGAAAUCUUCAAAAUAUGAAAAAUCUGACUACCUAAGUUACGGCAUAGACUGUUCGUUCCUGUAUUUUGCUGGACAUUAGAAUUACCAAAGUUACAGCAUAGCUUGUUCGUUCCUGUAUUUUGCUUGAAGUUAGAAUAUGAGCCUCUAAUGGAAGCAGAUGAUGAUGAUGAUGAUGAUGAUGACAAUAGCAAUAAGAACAUCAAAACCUUCAAGCAGACAAGGCAAGUUAAGGGAGCAAGGAAGAGAUUCUGCUAAGCACUCCAACCGAAGAACGUGUAAUAUUCUGGGAAAGAUGAAGGAUUUGAGACGGUACAGAGUUCAUGCAGGAGGCAAACAAAGGAACAAGAAAGAUGUCAAAAGGGAGGAGAAUGUUUAUCUGAUAUCUUAGAAAAGCAAGAAGGAAAGAAUAAAGGGUAAGUGUAGAUUUAAUUUUGUAUUGAUCAAAUAGUUAUGAUUGCAAAAUGAAAAAUUUAACAUAUUUUGAUAAAUGAAAGUCUGCAUAGAUUAUGAAUAAAGGCAAUUUUCAAAAGAGCUCUGCAUUUAUGAAUACAUUAAUUAAAAAAAAAGGAUAUUCAACCAAGUAUAUUUAAAUCAAGUUCAAAACAUUACAUUUCAUGUAAAGGACAUUAUGACAAUGCCUCCACCCACCAAAGGUGCUGCCAGAGACAUUAUGUUUUCGGGUUGUCCGUCCGUCCGUCCCACUUUCGUUCUCGCGAUAACUUAAAAACCAGUCAACUAAUCAACUUCAUACUCGGCUCGAGGACACCUAUCUGGGUGACGAUGAGCUGAGUAGUUUUUGGGUCCAAAGGUCAAAGGUCAAAGGUCAUAGAAUUCAAUAAAAUACAUAAGAAAUAGACCUUUCUCACAAAAAAUCAAAAACCCUUUGACAGAUCAAUUUCAAACUUGGCUCAUGUGUGCAUAUACAAGUGACAAUGAGCUGAUAAGUUUUGGGGUCUCAAGGUCAAAGGUCAAGGUCAUAACAUUCAAUAAAAUACAUAAAAAAUAGACUAUUCUUGUAAUAACUCUUAAACCUUUUGACAGAUCAACUUUAAACUUGGCUCAUGUGUACAUAUACAAUAGACGAUGAGCUGAUUAAAUUUUUUGAAUGUCAAGGUCAAAGGUCAAGGUCAUAAAAUUCAAUAAAAUACAUCAAAAAUAGACCGAUCUCAUGAUAACUCCAAAACCCUUUAACAGAUCAACUUCAAAACUGGCUCAUGUGUGCAUAUACAGCUGACAAUGAUCUGAGUAGAUUUUGGGUCUCAAGGUGAAAGGUGAAGGUCAUAAAAUUCAAUAAAAUGCAUAAGAAAUAGAUUGUUCUAAUGAUAACUUUUAAACCCCUUGAAGGAUCAACUUCCAACUUCUUUCAUGUGUGCAUAUACAAGUGACAGUGAUCUGUUCAGAUUUUUGGUCUCAAGGUCACAGGAUUCAGUGAAGUUUAUAUGUUAUCUGACUAGAUUCUCCAGUCGCAAGAUCAAAGGUCUACUAUUUUAUACUUUAUGGAAAGAGAAACUAGGAUAUAUAUUUCUCGUCUGGCAGUGGCGGAGGCGUACAUUUCGACCGUGCGCAGUCAAAGAUUCGUCUGGUUUCAAAAUGCAAUUACUACUGCAAAGAUAUUUUAUUUUACAAUACAUGGUGUCAUAAGAAGCAUCAGUUUAUUAUUGCAACAGCAAUUAUCAAAAAGAAAUGAAACAGAAUUUGAAUCUAGUUUGGAAGUGAAAGAAAUGAAAACUUUCUACUAAGAAUGUGCUUUUAUUUUCAAUGAAUACAAAAAUCUUGUAAUUUAUAAUGACUACAUGGUAUACAUCGACUCAGAAAAAAGGUAGUCCAAGGGGGAGGGGGUUAUGGGACAAAGAUAUAUAAGUGUAUUGUGUAAUAGUUCUUAAUUUUCUUUACAUACCAUUUGCAGUUUCUGUAAUACACUGUGUAAUAAUGUUGUUCUCUCAAUGUUACUAUUAAGUACAGGUACCAACAAGAACCCAAACACCAACAAUGUGAUAACUCCUCUUGGGGAUUACUGCCUGACUUGCGGUUAUUAGACCGCUUUUCAUCUAAUGAUUUGGGACCAUGUAGGAGUGUGCAUAGUGUACAAAGCCAUUCAUUUAUGCAGUUUCACUCCAUUGGUUUGUAUUGAUGAAAUUUAUAUCCAAUCCCAAUCGGUGCCAUACAAGCCUGGUGUCUGUAAAUGCUCCUGUGAGUAAUGUGCUGACCAGGUUUAUCCCUGAAAUUGUUAGUGAACGGAGCAGCUGGAGGAUCCCAGCCCUUGGUGAUAAAUGCUGGGUAUUGUGGUGAAUAAUAAUGUUUAAUAUCAUCAAAACAAUUGUCUACAAACAGGAAAAACAAUUUAGAAAUUUGUUUUAUUGACAAGAUUUGAUGAUGAUAACUUAUGAAAUUUAGAUAAUUGAAAAUGUGUCACAGAUAUGUAAUCCCCUCUCACCCAUAUUUAGUGUUUGUCGUCCAGUUAAUCAUUUGUCGUCCAGUUUAUCAUUACUCUAAACAAAAGACUUUAAUGAAGAACACACCUUCAAGACAAGGAUUGACUAACUCCUCACUACUUGCGCACUUAUUUCAAAGAAAAACGUUUAUCAACCAUAAUCUGUCAGUCUCAUUGGCUACCAGACAAAUCGCCUGCCCACAAAUGCUACAGGUCCUUGAAAUUGUCAAAGAAAAGACCACUUAGAGGACAUUGGCUCGUCUAAAAUGUAACUGGACUCUGUGAUGGGUCACUUUGUAUAAAUUUGUUUAUUAUCAUCUGAACAAUUUCAGCUUUCUUAUCAUUGCAGAAUUUUUGUUUAUUUUGAUUUUCAACAGUUUUUUUAAAUUAUAGUUCACAAUCUGCUUCAUAUGUAAACCCCAACUGAGAUGUGCAAUACAAAAAGAAAUCAAAAGUAAAUCAAUGAUUCAAGACUUAUAAAAGCCAUGUCCACCCCAAGAACAAAUGGAUUUGGACGAAAAGGGAAAAAUCAAACGA